AACGCGAAGAACCUUACCUGGGCUCGAAAUGCUGGUGACCGGGGUGGAAACAUCCUCUUUCCGCAAGGAACACCAGUAUAGGUGCUGCAUGGCUGUCGUCAGCUCGUGUCGUGAGAUGUUGGGUUAAGUCCCGCAACGAGCGCAACCCUUAUCCCUAGUUGCCACGUUCCGGCUUGCCGGAGCCGCACUCUAGGGAAACCGCCUCGGAUAACGGGGAGGAAGGUGGGGAUGAUGUCAAGUCCUCAUGGCCUUUAUGUCCAGGGCUACACACGUGCUACAAUGGCCGGUACAGACCGUCGCAAACCCGCGAGGGGGAGCAAAUCGGACAAAGCCGGCCUCAGUUCGGAUCGCAGUCUGCAACCCGACUGCGUGAAGCUGGAAUCGCUAGUAAUCGCGGAUCAGAACGCCGCGGUGAAUACGUUCCCGGGCCUUGUACACACCGACUGUAC
rnacentral:rRNA from 1 species